rnacentral:lncRNA from 1 species
GUGUAUUUUGUACGAUGCCAAUGCCAGCUGUUGUCUUUAACCCAGAAAAAAAUUGCCAUCCAUACCAUGCCUCGAACCUACGUUCGCCAGCAUACUAUCACGUCUCCUACAUCAUUACACUACCACACACACUACCGUCCAAAACCGUAAAAAAAACAUUCAACAUUCCACCGUCAUUUCCCACCACGAUUAUUAUUUUGCAUAAAUCACGACGCAAAUAUUUCUAGCCAGUAGGUAUGCAGAACAUUGCCAAAGACGUACACAAUAUAUAAAUUCAUUUCUGAGAUUAUAGGAAAGGCACAGGAUAAACAAGCUGAAACACGAAGAUGCUUCCAAAACAGUACAGAGGAAGAAAAUACAUACAAAAAACACAUUUC